CCCUUAGACGUUCUGGGCCGCACGCGCGCUACACUGACGAAGGCAACGAGCUUUCCUUUACCGAAAGGUACGGGUAAUCUUUUGAAACUUCGUCGUGCUGGGGAUAGAUCCUUGCAAUUAUUGAUCUUAAACGAGGAAUUCCUAGUAAGCGCAAGUCAUCAACUUGCGUUGAUUACGUCCCUGCCCUUUGUACACACCGCCCGUCGCUACUACCGAUUGAAUGGUUUAGUGAGGCCUUCGGAUCCGCAACUCGUUUUGUGGAGAAGUUGGACAAACUCAGUCAUUUAGAGGAAGUAAAANUCGUANCA
rnacentral:rRNA from 1 species